AUGCCAGUACACAUAUACUAUGGCAUUUUUAUAAAAUGUAUGAUUCAGGUUUUUCUGACUUUCAUACUUCCAUUGUAAUAUAUCAUCUAAAUUACACAUUAUCCUGUUAUCCGUUUCCUUAAUAAAACAUCAACAGACAGGUGCCAUGGUUGGCUAGAAUGGGCACACCCACUCAGGCAGAGGAUAUAAGACACAUUUCUCUAAUUUUACAGGACUUUGUGUCUGCGUGCUAUAGAGACGCAUUUAGUGUGAUCGGGUUGAUCAGCCUCAGAUCAUACUCUGCAAAAGUGCUAAAGUUCAACAGAACAUGGAAUGAAUGACGGACAGUUUACUUUGUGAGUAUUAAAACGCUUAUGUGUUCAAUGCACUUUUGAGUAGAAACAUUGCUUAUUCAUUCAUUAGGAUUAUAACGUUUUCUAAAAAGUAUCUGAGCUAUAAAUGCAAAUA